CUAAGAAUCUUGCGCAAUGAGCGAAAGCUUGACGCAGCAACGCCGCGUGGAGGACGAAGGCCUUCGGGUCGUAAACUCCUUUUGCGAGGGAAGAAGAUCUGACGGUACCUCGCGAAUAAGCCACGGCUAACUACGUGCCAGCAGCCGCGGUAAUACGUAGGUGGCGAGCGUUGUCCGGAUUUAUUGGGCGUAAAGCGCCCGCAGGCGGCCUGUUAAGUUCAAGGUGAAAUCUCCCGGCUCAACUGGGAGGGUGCCUCGAAAACUGGCAGGCUUGAGGCAGGGAGAGGGAUGCAGAAUUCCUGGUGUAGCGGUGAAAUGCGUAGAUAUCAGGAGGAAUACCAGUGGCGAAGGCGGCAUCCUGGCCCUGUCCUGACGCUCAGGGGCGAAAGCGUGGGGAGCAAACCGG
rnacentral:rRNA from 1 species